ACUAUGGAGAGUUUGAUCCUGGCUCAGGAUGAACGCUAGCGGGAGGCUUAAUACAUGCAAGUCGAGGGGUAACAGGGGCUUCGGCCCGCUGACGACCGGCGCACGGGUGAGUAACGCGUACACUACCUACCUUAUACUGAGGGAUAGCCCCGGGAAACUGGGAUUAAUACCUCAUGGUCCAGUAAUGG
rnacentral:rRNA from 1 species